GUCUUUCCCGAACGCGCUUCCUGUCCUCUUCGAUUAUUUUUCGUUUGUCGCAUUCAUGGAAAUUCAGCAUGUGGAAAGUGUCAUUGAGCAAGGAUUCCUUGAUAUCUUUGUCAAUUUGAGCAUCCGUGUGAAAGCUGGAAUUUCUAGUUUCAAACAAACUUGCAUCCUUCCUGGACGAAGCCCAACCCAUUCUUUCAAGAUUCUUGAUUUCUGCAAAGCCGGCGACAUUCUAUAACAUCCUUUGAGAAUGAAAUUUGAAUCUUCUUGCGAAACUUGAAGAUUAUAGUCACCUGCUUGCUCAGGGCUCAAUUCAUGACAACCGUAAACCAAAGACGACCAAAUAGGUUUUGGAUAUCCCUUUGAAUCACUUGUGACUCUGUAAACUGGCACCAAACAAAUUCCAGCUUCUGGUGCAAGACCAGAUCUCCACAGUUCUUCCAACCAACGCACGUCUUCACUCGGUGUAUCCCCAAGAAUAUAAGGACCCCAAAGUCCUGCGCUCCCGUCGCCCGUGGUAUUUGGUGUAAAGACUUCUCCAAAAAUAGUUACAGACAAAUGUGGAAAUGUCCUUUUUAUCAUCACA